UUUAGAAUAUUUGCCCCUAGACAUUCCAACAUGCAGCGAAACUGUCACAAUCCCAGAAACACCUCAAUUCUAAACAGCUUGCUCUAGCCACAAAAAGGAUCAUUCAUGUAAAUCAGAGAUAAAAACCAAAUUGUGUUUGGUAAGGAUACUUUCUUCUCAAUGCCCUGGAGGUUGUCUCAUUCCCCAGGGGUGUGUUUUGUUUUUAAAGGCAAUAUGCAAAUGAGGUAGGUGAGCAUGUGACAGAACAAUCAAAAGUCAUGCAUGAUGAGAAGGAUGGAAUGCCUACACUUGGAAUGAGUUUUGGAAGAAUUGUCUGGUCUCUUUGAGAAUCUUUUCUUUGAAAGCAGUGUUUGGGGACUCAUUUGAUUACAGAUGUCACAGAGAGAUCCUAGCUGCUGAGUCAAUGGAAAUAUUGUUUAGAGAAAGCUCCCAGGCCACUUCAGAAGGACCUUACAGCUUCAAUGACAAAGAGUGAACUUGUGUUCAUCAGCUUCUGAUUCCAAUUGCAUAACUAAUGAGGAGCUUUCAGCUGGGGGUGUCUACCACUCACAGAUAUGUGUAUCAUAAAAAUCCAUGUGUUGUGGUGUAGAUGAUGUGAAAAAAUGAGACUAUUUGUAUGAAAAAAUUAAUGGCAUAACC